CUCAAUCAAAACAAUUGAAUUAUGCAGUUAACCUUCUUGGUGGCUAAAUAGCCAAAGUUGGAAGAGUAAAGUCUGAGGUAAGCAUGUCAAGAAUAGUUUCGCUCCAAUUUCCACCAGGGUCGAAGAAGCUUAUUGAGGUGAUCAAGUCAAAAUCAAUGAGAAAGUAAUACAAGUCUUUUUCUCUAUUAUAGAUCUAGAAAAUUCUGAACCUAUAUAUCAUCAGAGUUAGUCCGGAAGCAAGAGCACAAUUAGUUAUCUCCUAUCAUGCACUUCCGCUCCAACUCCAACUCCAACUCUUCCACCAUUCUCGUCUACUCUCACAUCCAUAUCUCCACCCAACACCAUUCCUCUCUCACACGCUUCCUUCACUUCAUCAUUUCUCCUCCAUAAGAUCCGAUAGUUAAACAGAAGAAGAACAAUGUUUUGUUCACAUCAUCACUGCGGGAGGGGCACGAUGUUCAGGCAAACAAAUACCAGAGGAUCAAAAUCUGUAUCCUCAGUGUAAAUGGUGGUGCAAUGCCAAUCAUCUUAUCAGUAAAAUCUUUCGCGUUUCUGGAAUACGCAUUUGGCAGAGUUAAAUCGGGAAACCUUAAUGUUAGAAUCUUUGAUUGCUUCAACUUCUGACUAUGAGGUUCCGGUGAGGUCUGUGAAAGAGGGUGUUGCAAGAAAAGUCAAACGAGCCUUUUCUUUUGCUUUA